UGUAAGCGUAUACCAAAGUUGUUGCAGUUAAAACGCUCGUAGUCGGAAUUUGGCAGUUCCGGAUGUGUGCACGUCGUGUGCGCACUUCGCGGGGAUUGCUUUUGUGGUCUUGCGUAGGAUGAGGCACUUUUAUUAGUGAACGUCCUCACGCAACCACUUUUUACUGUGAGAAAAUCAGAGUGCUCAAAGCAGGCAUUUGCCGUGAAUGUAUUAGCAUGGAAUAAUAGAAUAGGACUUGGUUCUAUUUUGUUGGUUUGUUGGGACUGAGUAAUGAUUAAGAGGGACAGUUGGGGGCAUUUGUAUUUCGGUGCUAGAGGUGCAAUUCUUAGAUUACCGAAAGACAAACUGCUGCGAAAGCGUCUGCCAAGGAUGUUUUCAUUGA
rnacentral:rRNA from 1 species